rnacentral:lncRNA from 1 species
UGUUCAUGGGGAAAUCCCAGCCCUCCAAACACCAUGGGAAGAUGCCUUUAUAGUCCAGGCAGUGCUUUUGCUCAGCCCACAGGACCCUGCUCCGGCAGAUCCACCACUCCCAUGCUUGGCUCAUCAGCUCUCCGUGGAACAAAUCCUGGGUGUCUGAAACCACCACAGAUCAGUUCUACCCCGCUGGAGGGUGAGAAGUGGAGAGCACUGGGAUCCUCCUGUCCUGCUGCUGCCUGAUAAGAUCCUUCCUAUGCCAGCAGUGAGCUGAGGUGUGGGAAAUGUGGCUUUUGCAGAUGCUGCAGGGAUGGAUCCUUUGGGAUGCUCCAGGAUCCCUUAGCGGGGUCAGGAUGGAUCCUUUGGGAUGUUCCAGGAUCCCUUACAGGAGUCAGGAUGGAUCCUUUGGGAUGCUCCAGGAUCUCUCACCGGGGUCAGGAUGGAUCCUUUGGGAUGCUCCAGGAUUCCCUACUGGGGUAAGGAUGGAUCCUUUGGGAUGCUCCAGGAUUCCCUACUGGGGUCAGGCUGGAUACUUUGGGACGCUCCAGGAUCCCUUACCGGGGUGGGUGCUGCAAGAGCUCUGUCUGUGACACCUCUGCAGGGAACCUCGACCCACAGCCUUCAAGCUGAGGAUUAAAGAGCGGGAGAAGGGGAAGAGCCAUGUUCCAGGCCACGGGAGCAGCCAGCCCAGCCCCAGCCCAUGUACGUGGGGUUUGUACCCUGGGGUUUGUGUGGGAAUUUCAGCUGCGUUUGGGUUCCCGGGGGGGAGGGUUGUACACAGAAGCUCUGUUCCUGACCUGACAUUUCAGGGUGAUCAAAGGCACGGCCACAGCUACUCAGAGAGCAGAACCGGGGGCAGGAAUGUUCCAGCAGAAGGUGCUGUUGGCUGAGCACGCUGGACGCCAGCCUCAGGCUCUGCUCCAUCCCCAGCUCCUGGAGCUGCUGUCUGUCUGUUUGUUUGUGUUUCCAUGGCUUUCCGUGAUCACAAUUGAGAGCUUUCGAGCUGGAGUGAUUGGAGAUGGAAAAACAUCAAGGUUCAAGAACAUCUCCUGCUGGGACAGGAUACGGCCCUUCCCCGAGGGAAGAUCUAUCAGAUAUGGAGUGGAGAGCGUGCCUGGCUGGCCAGGAGCUGCCGAGAAGUGACAGCAGCCCUGGGAACGGAUGUCUCAGCUCCAGAGAGGCAGCUUUUCCUCAGCCCUGCUCAGCUGAGCCUGCAAACAGCACAUUAAACCCCUAACCCCAGGAGAGCAGCUGUGCUUGUUCUCCCAGUGCCAAGGGAUGCAACUGGUUUUACACGGCCUGAGCCUCCCCUGCCCAUGGCCCACUGUUGACUUUGGCUCCUGCUUCCAGCCUCGUGGGACUGGGAGGAAAAUCACAAAAUCGUGUCCCUGACCUCAGGCAGCGAGAGCAGCUGGGAAACCUCUGAGGAGGCAGCUCAGAGGCGAGGGGAGCGCUUCCUGUGCCUCCCUUGGACAAACUGUUUCCAAAAAUACAAAGGAGAAGCGAUGGGGAAGGACAGGGCAGGAGGAACAGGGGGUGGGGAUCAGCCUGGGGCUGUGCUGGGCAGGCAGAGCCAAACUGGGUGACAUC